GGUGUGGUGGCCAAGCGGUAAGGUGUUGGUCUCGUAAACCAAAGAUCGUGGGUUCGAUUCCCAUCCAUACCU
rfam:Xiphophorus maculatus strain JP 163 A Contig655.11, whole genome shotgun sequence.